UCAUGUCUGGGUGGAAGGUUUCAGGAAGUACUAUGCACAAGAAUACACACCAGUUACUAUUUGGAAUAUUCUUAUAGUGAUUACAGAAAUUAAAAGCUGCAGAAAAACUCCAAGGGCUAAUGUAUUAUUUUUUUGUGCUAAAUUUACUUGGACUGCAUUGGUGUUUAAAGAAAUGGUCAUGAUAUUUCGGUACCGGAUUUGCUUUGUCCAGAAUUUAGCCUUAAAUGUGAUGGAUUUACUAUAGGAUAUAUAUUACGAAAAUUCAGUGGGCCGUCUCCUAAAUAUAAGAAAUGAGAAAAUGGGAAGUGGUUGAUGGAUAUGGAUGAAACUUUGCAUCAGUCUUGUGUUUAUGAAUAGAAGUCAGGAAAAUAAAUGAUAACUGACAGACUGUGCAUUUACCAAAGCCUGGGUUUGAGUACAGGACCUUACCUUAUCCUGGUAAAGAUCUAUGGAAGGACUCCUUCAGCUCAGUUUGGCAGCAGCUUUGUCAGGACACAUUGAGAUGGAUUUCAUUUCUGGGUGGAAGGUUUCAGGAAGUACUAUGCACAAGAAUACACACCAGUUACUAUUUGGAAUAUUCUUAUAGUGAUUACAGAAAUUAAAAGCUGCAGAAAAACUCCAAGGGCUAAUGUAUUAUUUUUUUUGUGCUAAAUUUACUUGGACUGCAUUGGUGUUUAAAGAAAUGGUCUUGAUAUUUCGGUACCGGAUUUGCUUUGUCCAGAAUUUAGCCUUAAAUGUGAUGGAUUUACUAUAGGAUAUAUAUUACGAAAAUUCAGUGGGCCGUCUCCAUAAAUGCAGCAAAGACCGGGAAUUU